rnacentral:pre_miRNA from 1 species
GGUACUUAACGCGAGGUUGCCUUGGUAUAUUCGGUUUAUUGACGUGGAAUAUACAAGGGCAAGCUCUCUGUGAGUAUC